rnacentral:lncRNA from 1 species
UCUCAAUUCAAGAAAUGGUCUUAAGAAGCGAAUUCAUUUUCAUUUUGAAACUCAAGAUGCGGCUUGCAAAAUGUCUUCCUCCAAAGCCUUAGUAAAGGAGAUGAGCCUUUCGUUAAGAACCACCGAGGACUACAGCUCUUCCGUGGAAGCGCAUCUCCCUCUCUCUUUCUGUGAUGCUGUCUGUCUCUAAAAUUGGGGAGUCUGGUGCUAACGCUCACUUCCUUCACAGAACCAUCAGCGCCUCUCAUUUCAGCUAUUAAGUAUUUAAAGGCAAGUCGUUUGAGAUUGAGUCUGUCUCUUCUAAUCCUGUGUAGGCUAAAUGAAAUUCAAGUUCUCAAAAUGGCUCGUCAUCAUAGUGGAGGAAGGAAGAUGUGUCUAAGAGGACACUUGGAGGAAGAAUUGCUUCCAAAAGAAGUCAUGGCGAUACAAUAUGGCUGACAAAGUCUACAUCAUCUUUAAUGCUGCUCUAUCAAGAAAUGCCAUUAGGGAUGGAACUAGAAAAAAAUCAGCCUGAGUGAGGUAACCCAAAUCCACCCAGAAAGACAAACAUGGACACAACAUAAAUCAUCACACCUGAUGUAUCAGAGUUUAGAUACAGCAUAUGAGUCAAAGGGAUGUGUGAGCUAAUAAUUGCCAAUCAUUAUAUUCCAAAGAUAGCAAAAAUAAAACAGAAC